UCCAUUUCACUAGGGAUUAUAAGUCUGUUUAAAUUGCUUAUCUGAUCUUGAUUUAACUUUGGCAAGUGGUAUAUAUUGAGAAAAUUAUCCACUUCUUUUAGAUUUUCCAAUUUGGUGAAGUACAAGUUUUUAAGAGCUUUCAGGUGUGCUGUUGAGUUACUAGUAUGAAGUCUCUCCAAUUUUUUUUUAAGUUGCUGAGUACCGUUGCGACAGAUCUACUGCUCCCCACAUGGCAAACAUUUGGGCAAGACUUCGCAGAAGACACUCACUCACCGGUGUAGUACGCUUUCUUAGAA